rnacentral:snRNA from 1 species
AGAGGGUGAGAGCCCCGU